UAGGGAAUAUUGGACAAUGGGCGCAAGCCUGAUCCAGCCAUGCCGCGUGAGUGAAGAAGGCCCUCGGGUUGUAAAGCUCUUUUGUCCGGAAAGAAAAGCAUCGGGUUAAUACCCCGGUGUUCUGACGGUACCGGAAGAAUAAGCACCGGCUAACUUCGUGCCAGCAGCCGCGGUAAUACGAAGGGUGCAAGCGUUACUCGGAAUUACUGGGCGUAAAGCGUGCGUAGGUGGUUCGUUAAGUCUGAUGUGAAAGCCCUGGGCUCAACCUGGGAAUGGCAUUGGAAACUGGCGGACUGGAGUGCGGUAGAGGGUAGCGGAAUUCCCGGUGUAGCAGUUAAAUGCGUAGAGAUCGGGAGGAACAUCCGUGGCGAAGGCGGCUACCUGGACCAGCACUGACACUGAGGCACGAAAGCGUGGGGAGCAAAC
rnacentral:rRNA from 1 species